rfam:Rattus norvegicus chromosome 1, whole genome shotgun sequence.
GGGGAUUUAGCUCAGUGGUAGAGCACUUGCCUAUCAAGCGCAAGGCCCUGGGUUCGGUCCCCAGCUCCG